UCAGCUUAGAUAGCCACAAUUUGAAAACACAAGAAGAAAAAGAACUUCCACAGAAAAAUCUCCCUCCUUAAAUACCUCUCUCUGGAUUUCUAUUGGAGUUACGAGAAAGCUUGAGGGAAGAUACAAGGGCUUCCCGGAUGGCUCAGCAGAGAUGGAUGACAUCACAAUAGAGCAUUAUCCACGUGGAGGGGCACC